CACGGGGGGAGCAAGCGUUGUUCGGAAUCACUGGGCGUAAAGGGCGUGUAGGCGGUCAGGUAAGUGGGACGUGAAAUGCCUCGGCUCACCCGAGGAGCGGCGUCCCAUACUGCUUGGCUUGAGUACGGGAGAGGAUGUGGGAAUUCCUGGUGUAGCGGUGAAAUGCGUAGAUAUCAAGAGGAACACCUGAGGUGAAGACGGGUUGCUGGGCCAACACUGACGCUGAUGCGCGAAAGCCAGGGGAGCAAACGGG
rnacentral:rRNA from 1 species